GUGAAGGCUUUGGCAACACAUGCACUAAAAUUGGAAUGAUGCAGAGAAGAUUAUUAGCAUGACCCCUGCUCAAGGAUGACACUAAGUCCUGAAGUGCUCCAUAGUUUC